ACAUGCAAGUCGAGCGGACAGAUGGGAGCUUGCUCCCUGAUGUNAGCGGCGGACGGGUGAGUAACACGUGGGUAACCUGCCUGUAAGACUGGGAUAACUCCGGGAAACCGGGGCUAAUACCGGAUGCUUGAUUGAACCGCAUGGUUCAAUUAUAAAAGGUGGCUUUUAGCUACCACUUACAGAUGGACCCGCGGCGCAUUAGCUAGUUGGUGAGGUAACGGCUCACCAAGGCAACGAUGCGUAGCCGACCUGAGAGGGUGAUCGGCCACACUGGGACUGAGACACGGCCCAGACUCCUACGGGAGGCAGCAGUAGGGAAUCUUCCGCAAUGGACGAAAGUCUGACGGAGCAACGCCGCGUGAGUGAUGAAGGUUUUCGGAUCGUAAAACUCUGUUGUUAGGGAAGAACAAGUACCGUUCGAAUAGGGCGGUACCUUGACGGUACCUAACCAGAAAGCCACGGCUAACUACGUGCCAGCAGCCGCGGUAAUACGUAGGUGGCAAGCGUUGUCCGGAAUUAUUGGGCGUAAAGCGCGCGCAGGCGGUUUCUUAAGUCUGAUGUGAAAGCCCCCGGCUCAACCGGGGAGGGUCAUUGGAAACUGGGGAACUUGAGUGCAGAAGAGGAGAGUGGAAUUCCACGUGUAGCGGUGAAAUGCGUAGAGAUGUGGAGGAACACCAGUGGCGAAGGCGACUCUCUGGUCUGUAACUGACGCUGAGGCGCGAAAGCGUGGGGAGCGAACAGGAUUAGAUACCCUGGUAGUCCACGCCGUAAACGAUGAGUGCUAAGUGUUAGAGGGUUUCC
rnacentral:rRNA from 1 species